rnacentral:rRNA from 1 species
ACGCUCGACACCUACGGAGGCAGCAGUGGGGAAUAUUGCACAAUGGGGGAAACCCUGAUGCAGCGACGCCGCGUGGAGGAAGAAGGUCUUCGGAUUGUAAACUCCUGUUGUUGGGGAAAAAGAGGAUGGUACCCAACAAGGAAGUGACGGCUAACUACGUGCCAGUAGCGCGGUAAGUACUGAGGCGGGCGUGGCGAAGGACG